ACUUUUCAGAUGUCUCUCUCUCUCUCUCUCUCUAAGAGCUGCUCUCCUCUCUCCUUUCUUCUAUCUAUUAAAUUUUCCACUCCCUAACCCACCCACAUGUGAUUGUGUCCUGAAUUCUUGGUGUGUGACGAUGAACCCCAGGGUGUAUACCCCAGACAGCACAGCCACUUCACCAGCAGGGACAGCAGCUGUCACAUGAACUGGAGAUGAACUGGAGACAUCUUUUUUUGUGGUGAGAACACCUAAAAUCUACUCUCUUGGCAAGUUUCAAGAAUACGUUUUAUGUGGUCCAGAGAGGCUGCAUCAGUCUCAGGCCCCUAAGCCUUGCCUGGUUCAACAGUAUUAUUUCACUCACGCUGGUCACCCCAUUGUUAGAAAGAGCAAGGAAAGGAGGAUGAGAAAGGAAGAGAGGGAGGGAGAAAAUUGUCCCCAAGAAAAGGAAACUAUUGUCUGGUGAUGGACAGAUGGUUUCCUCAAUUUAUAUAAUUUAAGAUACAGAUCAUUCCCAAUACAACUUAGAAUCUCAUUAGUCAGUACAAUUUUCUGAAGGUUCAAUCUUUCAUUUCUAUUCUCUACCCUGGCAAGAACGUUGGAGCUUACCAUCAUAAGUGACAGGAAUGAACAUUGGAGCUUACCAUCAUAAGUGACGGGAAUAGCAUUAUCUCCAAACCUGAGAUCCUUCCAAUGGGAAUUCUACAACUCCUGGGAGUUUAUGAUUCACACAUGUAGACAAUGUCUGUACCUAUACUCAGAGAUGUAGACUGGCCUCAAUAGAGUUCAUUGAGCUAAAACAAUACUAGGUAAACAAUGGAAUUUAUUUUCAAGACUGAACUCAGUUCUCAUCAGUUCAAGGUUAACCUCAACAAAAUGAAUCCAGUAAUGGAAAGAAAAUGAAAAAAAGAACAAACAAAACGAAAUGACUGCACUACGUAUUUAGGCCCAGCUGACAGAAUCUCAACACUGAAUGAUACUGAUAAAUAGGUUUCCUUGUGUAUCCAGUGUGAAGUCUUGGUUGUUAUUCGUUUUCCAACGAACAUUAAAGUCAUCUUUGGAUUCUCUGCA
ensembl:lncRNA LINC00370 long intergenic non-protein coding RNA 370